CGUGUAGGCGGUCAGGUAAGUGGGAUGUGAAAGCCCCCGGCUCACCCGGGGAUCUGCACCCCAAACUGCCUGGCUUGAGUACGGGAGAGGAUAGGGGAAUUCCUGGUGUAGCGGUGAAAUGCGUAGAUAUCAGGAGGAACACCGGUGGCGAAGGCGCCUAUCUGGCCCGAUACUGACGCUGAGGCGCGAAAGCUAGGGGAGCAAACGGGAUUAGAUACCCCGGUAGUCCUAGCCGUAAACGGUGAUCACUAGGUGUUGGAGGCAUCGACCCCUCCAGUGCCGCAGCUAACGCAUUAAGUGAUCCGCCUGGGGAGUACGGCCGCAAGGUUGAA
rnacentral:rRNA from 1 species